AGCGACAGGCCUAACACAUGCAAGUCGAGGGGCAGCGCGGGAGAAGCUUGCUUUUCCUGGCGGCGACCGGCGCACGGGUGCGUAACAGGUGUGCAAUCUGUCCUAUACCAGAGCAUAGCCCAGCGAAAGUUGGAUUAAUUCUCUAUGUGAGCCGAGAGGGCAUCCUUUUGGUUUGAAACGUGAGGGUAUAGGGUGAGCACGCUUCUGAUUAGCUAGUUGGUGGGGUAACGGCUCACCAAGGCGACGAUCAGUAGGGGUUCUGAGAGGAAGGUCCCCCACAUUGGAACUGAGACACGGUCCAAACUCCUACGGGAGGCAGCAGUGAGGAAUAUUGGUCAAUGGUCGGAAGACUGAACCAGCCAAGUAGCGUGAAGGAUGAAGGUUCUAUGGAUUGUAAACUUCUUUUAUACGGGAAUAAAACCACCUACGUGUAGGUGCUUGUAUGUACCGUAUGAAUAAGCAUCGGCUAACUCCGUGCCAGCAGCCGCGGUAAUACGGAGGAUGCGAGCGUUAUCCGGAUUUAUUGGGUUUAAAGGGAGCGUAGACGGGAUGUUAAGUCAGUUGUGAAAGGCUGCGGCUCAACCGCAGCACUGCAGUUGAUACUGGCGUCCUUGAGUGCGGUUGAGGUGUGUGGAAUUCGUGGUGUAGCGGUGAAAUGCUUAGAUAUCACGAAGAACUCCGAUUGCGAAGGCAGCACACUAAGCCGCUACUGACGUUGAGGCUCGAAAGUGUGGGUAUCAAACAGGAUUAGAUACCCUGGUAGUCCACACGGUAAACGAUGAAUACUCGCUGUUGGCGAUACAUUGUCAGCGGCCAAGCGAAAGCAUUAAGUAUUCCACCUGGGGAGUACGCCGGCAACGGUGAAACUCAAAGGAAUUGACGGGGGCCCGCACAAGCGGAGGAACAUGUGGUUUAAUUCGAUGAUACGCGAGGAACCUUGCCCGGGCUUAAAUUGCAGAGGACAGGCGCAGAGAUGUGCUCUUCUUCGGACCUCUGUGAAGGUGCUGCAUGGUUGUCGUCAGCUCGUGCCGUGAGGUGUCGGCUUAAGUGCCAUAACGAGCGCAACCCUUGCCAUUAGUUACUAACAGGUUAUGCUGAGGACUCUAGUGGGACUGCCAUCGUAAGAUGUGAGGAAGGUGGGGAUGACGUCAAAUCAGCACGGCCCUUACGUCCGGGGCUACACACGUGUUACAAUGGGAGGUACAGAAGGCCGCUACCCGGCGACGGGACGCUAAUCCCCAAAACCUCUCUCAGUUCGGAUUGGAGUCUGCAACCCGACUCCAUGAAGCUGGAUUCGCUAGUAAUCGCGCAUCAGCCACGGCGCGGUGAAUACGUUCCCGGGCCUU
rnacentral:rRNA from 1 species